AUAUAUUAUUAUUAUUUUCCAACAUCGGUUGAUACUAUAUAUAUACCUUCAACGUUUGUUUAUAUUUUCUUUUAUAACGGUUUCCCCUAUAACGUGCCCUGUGUAAUUGCAAAAGUUCUUUAUGACUAAGAUCACUGAAAAACUGUUGGCGAACUAGAGUAUUGGAAGAAAAUCAUCAUAUAGCAGCUAAGAUUGGAAGAAAAUGCUUAAAUUGAUUUUAAAUGCAACUGUGUAUACAGUGUCAUGUGUUUAAUAAGAAAACAUAGCCUAUCAAGCGUUCAAAGAAUAUUUGUCC
rnacentral:lncRNA from 1 species